rnacentral:sRNA from 1 species
CCAGCGUCAAGGUGUCUGUGUUCUUCGGUGGUCUCUCCAUCAAGAAGGAUGAAGAAGUGUUGAAGAAGAACUGUCCCCAUGUCGUGGUGGGGACCCCGGGCCGCAUCCUGGCGCUCGUGCGGAAUAGGAGCUUCAGCCUAAAGAAUGUGAAGCACUUUGUGCUGGACGAGUGUGACAAGAUGCUGGAGCAGCUGGGCUCCCCUCCCUGAAGCGUGGCUCGAGGCGCACGGGCACGGCUGCUCCGCGCCAGCGUGUAAGUGGAUUGCAGCUCCUCCCGCGCCUGCGCUCGCUGGCCACCCCCCAGCCCCUCAGGCACCAGGACUGGCCACUCCCGCGGCUCACUCUGCCCUCGUCACGGUGCCACUGGCUCCCUGGCACAGACAUGCGGCGGGAUGUGCAGGAGAUCUUCCGCCUGACACCACACGAGAAGCAGUGCAUGAUGUUCAGCGCCACCCUGAGCAAGGACAUCCGGCCUGUGUGCAGGAAGUUCAUGCAGGAUGUGAGUAGGGCGAGAGUGGCAGCUUCAGCCUUCCCCAGGGGCCUGGAGCCUGGGGCCCCAGGACACCCGCACGGCCCACAUGGCACGGAGGAUGCUGGGAUGCUGGGAGCCGGCAGAGCCUCCUUUCCUCCCCUCGGUCUUGUCAAACUGGGAGUCAAGCUUGGUCCACACCUGAGUCGGGCCAGAGCUUACAUCCAGCUUUUGAGCGAUGUUUACUGAGGUCUGGUGCAGCAGGUCCUCUGGGAAGUGUCGCACAAAGGAGUCGCCCACUGGAAGGUUCUGGGCAGGCGAGAUGCCCAGAGGUGAUACCUGCCCGCCCCUCCCACCUCCCUUCCCACACAGCCCAUGGAGGUGUUUGUGGACGACGAGACCAAGCUCACGCUGCACGGCCUGCAGCAGUACUACGUCAAACUCAAAGACAGUGAGAAGAACCGCAAGCUCUUUGAUCUCUUGGAUGUGCUGGAGUUUAACCAGGUGAUAAUCUUCGUCAAGUCAGUGCAGCGCUGCAUGGCCCUGGCCCAGCUCCUCGUGGAGCAGAACUUCCCGGCCAUCGCCAUCCACCGGGGCAUGGCCCAGGAGGA